rnacentral:lncRNA from 1 species
UGGGCCUUUGGCUUCCUGUCACACAGCCGUGCGACAAGGGGCAGGUUUCUGAAGGACCAGAGAGAAAAGGGGUCUGUUGUUCUCGGGGGCACAGGCUUGCUGGUGGCAUCCCGCACAGACACUCUCUCCUCACAGCUCCCACCACGGGGACUGGAGGCAGGAGGAGCCGACGGGCCCCUGGAACGGCCGCGGUGCGUCCCGAGGUGGGAGCCGCAAGCCCGAGGCUCGGCCGAGUCCCAGGGGACCCUAACGGAGGCCGGGCUGGAAGGCCAAGGUGGCUGCCACGUGGGAAGGUAUCCUUGACGUCCAGACCCUGGAGAAGGAGUCGGGAGCCACCACCCAAAGCAACUGUCCAGGAAAAGUGGUCGCGCUUCAGCCAUCGCGCUGGGCUAGGUCUUCCAAGCGAACCCCCUGUUGGAGCCUCUGCCGUCUAACGUCACCUAAUGUAGCCGAACCUGCCAAGACCCUGGCUACUUCACUGGAACCCAGACCAGGGCGAUCCCCGAGUGUUGCGAGCCCACCUUCCUCUUCCUCGACGGUGGCUCCAGCCCCUUCAUGUCGCCUCCAAGCUCCUGCCCAAGUGUUCCCACCCGCACUGCUGGGAGCAGCUCCUCUGUGUUUUCAGGGCCACUUUGCUGUCGUCCUUUGAAGGUUCUCUUGGCGACUCUAGGAAGACUCCAUGGUACAGGUGACCUUCUGUAUCUGUGGAGGAUCGGUUCCCAGAUACCCCCGCCCACGGAUCCCAAAAUCCCAGGAGCCAAGCCUUGUCUAAAGUGCCGGAGUGCAGCCUGGCCUCCAGAACACGUGAGAACAGAGCAGCCGUACUCUGUUUCCAACGAGCCGAUGGCCAAAGCCCCGCUGUGCGUGUUCUCUAUGGACUGAACAGCCAGUGGCCCUGUAGCAGUGAAGCCUCACACCGUCCUCCAGGCUGGAAGGGACCCUUGAGUCACAGAACUUGCCAGUUUGCAAACAUGUCUCUAGUUGUAACAACUUUCAUCUGUCAAAUGAGGGCUCUUCAUUUCUAAGGUUCUAGAAGCCGGCCGUGGUCAUUUAGUCCCUCAGCUGGGUGUACUGAAAUCUGGGCCAGAGGCACAGCUUCCUCGCUAAGACACCCCCCCACCCCAGCACCCUGUACACACACACAGGCAGAGGCCAAGCUGCCUGCCUCCCCGCACCCCCUAGAAUGCUAACCACUGGGGACCGAGGGGCAGUUCCUACCUUUUACAUCCUUACAUACUGAAUCUGGCGCUGGCUCCUGGGCUGCAUCUUCUUAACUGCAAACACUCUAUACCAUCCCUCUCUGGUUCCACCAGCCACCACCCUCCUUCCGUGUCCUCCUCUGAACGUGCCUGAUAAAGGCUUUUGAGUGACUGAAUGAGUGGACGGCUCCCAUCUUCUGUCAUCUCAAUGAGUGCUGCUCCCCAGCUGACUGGAACCAGACGCCCUAGUUCCCAGGCUGGGUUUCCCUCCAGAUGUGUUCUCCUGCAGUGUCGGUUCCACCGUUAAACAGCUGUAUCGCUCAGCAGGUACGCAACGUUGAUGCGCCUCCAUUUCCUCCUCUGCAGAAUUGUGGGCGUUCCUGUCGUGGCUCAGCAGAAUCCGGCUUGUAUCCACGAGGAUGCGGGUUCUAUCCCUGGCCUCGCUCGGUGAAUCUGGGAUCCAGCCUUGCCGUGAGCUGUGGUGUAGGCCGGAAGCUGUAGCUCCAAUUUGACCCCUAGCCUGGAAACUUCCAUAUGCUGAGGGUUCGGCCUUAAAAACAACAACAACAACAAAAUAGUACUUACGUCAUAGGGUUGCUGUCAGCAUUAAAUGAGAGAGUCUGUUAAAAACGCCGAGAACAUUGCCUGGCAAUAUACAUUGCAGAAUACUCAAUAAAUAUUAGCUGGUGUUAUUUCAUACUUCAUCAAAC